rnacentral:rRNA from 1 species
GACGAACGCUGGCGGCGUGCCUAAUACAUGCAAGUAGAACGCUGAAGGAGGAGCUUGCUUCUCUGGAUGAGUUGCGAACGGGUGAGUAACGCGUAGGUAACCUGCCUGGUAGCGGGGGAUAACUAUUGGAAACGAUAGCUAAUACCGCAUAAUAGUAGAUGUUGCAUGACAUUUGCUUAAAAGGUGCAAUUGCAUCACUACCAGAUGGACCUGCGUUGUAUUAGCUAGUUGGUGGGGUAACGGCUCACCAAGGCGACGAUACAUAGCCGACCUGAGAGGGGGAUCGGCCACACUGGGACUGAGACACGGCCCAGACUCCUACGGGAGGCAGCAGUAGGGAAUCUUCGGCAAGGGACGGAAGUCUGACCGAGCAACGCCGCGGGAGUGAAGAAGGUUUUCGGAUCGUAAAGAUCGGUUGUAAGAGAAGAACGAGUGUGAGAGUGGAAGGUUCACACUGUGACGGUAUCUUACCAGAAAGGGACGGCUAACUACGUG